GGAUGUUAUCUGGGCCACUAAGAAAUUGGGUCUGAAAAUACCUCCAGGGUCUGCCCCAAACUGACCUGAAAAGUCUGUAAAGAGAAUACACUUUGGGUACCAGAUCUUAGCUCCGACUAAGAGGCCACUCUUCUUGGUAACCUGGUAUUGUCUUCAAGCCAGGCUGAGCCCUUUGAAGUCUCUUAAGUGGAUGGAAAAGUACUUUUUCCCUGUCUCCAUCCUCCUUUGUGCAGCAAUAGCACCUCAGUAUCGAAGUGGGCAUGUUGUGCCUCAAGCUCAAAGACAUUUGCUAAGGUCCGUUGCAGCUAUGCAAGACCAUGUGACUACUACGUCAGUUCAUAUAGAGUCUGAUGGAAGGAAGAAUUGAUCUGUCAGCUGCCAUUUUGCCUCAGUCAAAAACUUGCCCCGUUGGGCAUUAAUUUCCUCGCACUUCCCAAUUGCACAUAUGCGGACAAUGUAUAUACAUGUGGGCAGGUCUUUCCUCCAGGAAAACCGGAAGGGGGAAGUGAGAGAAGUGGGGCGUGGGCACAAAGGGUGGGUUUGGGGAAACAGCAGACAACUCAGGACUUUUGAGGUCGUCCCUCCCGGAGCAAAAGCUUGAACCGACACAACCGGCUGAAAUCCUCCCUGGUUCCUCCCUCCUGCAAACGACUUUGAUAUUUAUUGCAGCUGCCUGUGUUUGCAGCGCUCUCCCGGCUCUGCUCCGUCCCAGAAGAGGCACCGGCACGUCUCGCUUCCCGCGUCCUGUAGCCCUACCUCUGUGCAGCCCUUCCCUCCCCAGUAAAAUGUUCUCAGCGCACAAAAGCCGCCGCUGAAGGGAAGGAACAGCUUCGGGCCGAGAGGGAGGGAGCUGGCCGGCUGCACCAUCUGCAGUGGAAAACGGACGCCGCUCACCCCGCCUAGGAAACUAAUGGAGCGUCCCUAAGAGACCCAAACUCCAGCUUGGCUCACCCCAGCUUUCUCCCCCACCUCCAGACCCCCAGAACGUGGAAAAGCUGACUGCAAAAUUUACAUGGAAGGGCCAUAAACGAAAAAUAGAGCCACAAUACUCCUGAAGAACAGGAAGAAGAGAAACUUGACCUACCAGAUGUCAGGAACGCUUAUAAAGCUACGCUUCCUCUCCUUCUUUGAGUCUGAAUGGAAAUGUAAGGUGUCGGGACACUGUCUAUCUAAAAUGGAGUAAGGAG